UACGUAGGGUGCAAGCGUUGUCCGGAAUUAUUGGGCGUAAAGAGCUCGUAGGCGGUUCGGCAAGUCGGGUGUGAAACCCCCAGGCUCAACCUGGGGACGCCACCCGAUACUGCUGUGACUUGAGUCCGGUAGGGGAGCGUGGAAUUCCUGGUGUAGCGGUGAAAUGCGCAGAUAUCAGGAGGAACACCAGCGGCGAAGGCGGCGCUCUGGGCCGGAACUGACGCUGAGGAGCGAAAGCGUGGGUAGCAAACAGG
rnacentral:rRNA from 1 species